GCCACCCUCGAACGGGCAAAAGAAAGAAAGAGGCAGCCACCCUCGCCCCCGCCAAAACAAACAGACAAAAAACUGUCAUUCUCAUAUGACCACGGACUCUGCGCCCCGGCCGCAGGCGGAGGACAGGGAGGAGCGCACACGAGAAAGCUCCCACGCGCCCGCGCCUCGCCUCCGACGGGAAGGCGCCUCUUCCGACCGUCCUGGAUGCAAAUUAAAUACUUCCCUCCGCAGAAGACUUAUCUCGGGGUAGGGCCGCAGCCGGAUUUCCAAAUCGCGGGUUUGAUUUUCGCUGCGUCCUCUCCGCGACGCGCGCAGGGAGCGCGCCCGGCCACCUGCAGCCUCUGGCUGCGGCCAUCUUUCCGCCUGGGGCCACCUGGCCUGCGCCCUUUGUGCCCGGCCCGCUCCGUGACUGUUCUUCUUGCCGCUACUUACAGAACUCAGCCGCCUUAGCGUCUUAGAGAAGAGGACGGCAUGCAUGCGGACCCCGUCCACCACACCUGGAGAGCAGGGAGCCCUUAGUCCCUGGACACUUACCAGGGCCGCCACCCCUGGUCCACGCACGUGAUGACAUCUCACCAGGGGCAGCACACCGCCCGAGUCCGCGACACUGAUAACACCUCCUGCGGGCAGGAGGGCGCCACAGCCACCCCUGGUCCCCUAGAUUGUGUGAGGCUAGCAUUUCUGCCCGCCUCUUGGCGUGGACAGCACGCUGGACCGAGAUGGAACCACAGCUUUCUCUUCCCAAUCCCUGGCCUCACCGUUUUGUUUCAUACCUCACCGUUUGUUUCAAACCUCGUGGUGUUGAAAUGAUUAAAUGAGAUUAAGGGGCAUUCCUCAGGCCUUAUCUCUCUGGUUCUUUCUGCUACAUUUGACACCUUGGGAUGACUCUCACCUUCUGGAAUCUCUCUACUACCUUGGUUUCAGAAGAGUGAACCCUCUGGAUUAUCACAUGAAGCUACUUCCUGUGAGCAGCCCAGGGAUGGCCAGUCACUUGUGACCUACUUUCAGAGCUGGCAGUUCUGACUUCUAGAACAAACUCGGAACAAGCCCAUCUACAGCUGGUUGACUGAGUUUCCUUUGGGCUCCUGGCACCAGAAAGAAUUGCUCACUGGAAGGAUCAUAGGUGGCACUCAUGUCUCACUGCCCCACUCAGGAAGGACAGAAGCCCUUUUCUUCUCAGUGAAUAAGAUUGGGAAUCUUGGCCGCGCGCAGUGGUUCACACCUGUAAUCCCAGCACUUUGGGAGGCCGAGGUGGGCAGAUCCCCUGAGGUCAGGAGUUCGAGACCAGCCUGGCCAACAUGAUGAAACCUCAUCUCUACUAAAAAUACCAAACCAGCAGGGCAUGAUGGCGCAUGCCUGUAAUCCCAGCUACUCAGUAGGCUGAGGCAGGAGAAUCGCUUGAACCUGGGAGGCAGAGGCUGCAGUGAGCCGAGAUUGUGCCACUGCACUCAAGCCUGGGCAAUAAGAGUGAAGCUCCGUCUCAAAAAAUAAUAAUAAUAAAUAAAAAGAUUGGGAAUCUUGAGAAACUAAAAGAAAAGGGCAAAUACUUAAAGAAAAAAGAAAAGACUGGGAAUCUGAGAGUCAUUCUUAGGUAUUUUUGUUAUCCCACGUGUGCAAGUAAUGAUUCCUAUUGAGGCUUGCUUUAAAAUAUCUUACUCUCUAUUCCACCCUUGCCUUCAGUCUGUGCCUGCUGCUGCCCCCUACCUCUGACCUCUCUCCAGGCCACCCGGUAGAUAGCUAACAUAUUCAUGAUAACUUACAAUUGUCAUACACAUACACGGCAUCACUGUGCUGUGUUCUACAUGUGUUACUUUAUUCCUCUAAAAGACCCCAUAAGCUGGGUGCCUUUAUUACCCGCAUUUUAUAGAUGAAGAAACUGAGGCUCAGUGCAGUUAAAUAAUAUUUGUAAGAUCUCACAGCAAGCAAGGAGCAGAACUGGGAUUUUAUUUAUUUAACUUAUUUAUUAUUAUUAUUAUUAUUAUUAUUAUUGAGACAGAGUCUUGCUCUGUCGCCCAGGCUGGAGUGCAGUAAUGUGAUCUCGGCUCACUGCAGCCUCCACCUCCUGGGUUCAAGCAAUUCUCCUGCCUCAGCCUCCCAAGUAGCUGGGAUUACAGGCACACACCACCACACCUGGCUAAUUUUUGUAUUUUUAGUAGAGACAGGGUUUCGCCAUGUUGGCCAGGCUGGUCUCAAACUCCUGACCUCAGGUGAUCUGCCCGCCUCAGCCUCCCAAAGUGCUGGGAUUAUAGGGGUGAGCCACCGCGCCUGGCCGGAACUGGGAUUUUAGAAGAACCAAGUGGUCUGGUGCCAAACUCCAAACUCCCAGCUGCUAUACAAUACUGCGUUUCUCUGAAGCACCCAUACGACCAUGUCACUCCUGUGCUCAAGUCUCUUCAGUGCCUCCCUUCUGACUGUGGUCGUUCAAAUUCCUACUUGGGCAUUAAAGGCUCUUCAGUGGUUUGUCUCUCGCUCUCCUGCAGGCAACAUCAUGCACGCGGAUGAUCAACAGUCAGUUCCUGGUCAACAUAAGUAAACAAGCCUGUUUAAGAUAAAUUCCCCCACACUCCCUUGUACCUACUCCUUGCCCUCUGCCCCAGGGUUAUAGAACAGCUGCUUUCUGCUAUUCUCCCCCCAGGCUCUGCAGAACCUUCUGACCUUUCAGAAGGUUUGCAUCCUUUCCCUAUAGUUUUUCCACCGCUCUGACCAGUCCCCCACAAUAUAUAGCCUUGUAUGCAAAGCCAGGCCUGUCCAUGCAGGGUGACCAUCCAAGGUAGACAGUGGCAAAAUCUGGUGGAGGCAUCAGAGAUAGUGCCAUCAGUUUGCUGGAACAAGCAUAUCAAGGAGCCUGGCAGAUCUACACUUCACCAGACGGUGCCUGUAGCCAACAGGGCAGGCCCUUGCUCCAGGGAAACACUCAGAAAUCAAAACUCCUUGCUCUGCUGCCAGGGAACUCUCCAGGAGAUCCUCAGUGUCAUCAGAAGCUGAAAAAAACAGUGCUGAGAAACGUGGCCUGCCGUCUUUCCAGCUAAGGGAGAUGGCCCAUUCGACCCUGGGUUGUCCUCUGCAAACGCGCUGCUGCAGGUUGCAUGGCACCAUCUCCUGAUUGCAAUUUGCUUUCCUGAGGGAGUGAACUGACUGAAAUUGGAUGGUAAUAAGUUGCUAGGUUAUUUUCCACUUUUUAGUUUAUGAGGCUUAUUCAUUUUGCUUUAACAUUAACCACUGCCUUCCUUUUAAGGAGCUGGUGAGGCAGCGCAUGGCAACAGGUUCAGGGUGAGGAGUGGCACCACCUCCUUUCAGUGAGGAUUUGGGAAGGGUGAAAAGCACCCUAAUCUUCUCAGCCGCAUGUGAACAAACCACCUGUCAAGGUGGGUCCUUCCUAUAGGGAGGUUGAUGUCAGCCCUUCAGGGAGGUCUCAGUUUUCUUCCUCCACUUCCUAAUCCCUUCAUUAUAAUUCCUUCCACAACAGAAUAAGUUUCUUGAGCAAUGCAGCAAUAUCCAGCAAUUUUAGAUAGACAUUUACCUUUUGACCUAGAAAUCUCACUUCUACGAAUCCAUCCUAAAGACACACUUUCAGCUGGAUGUGGUCGCUCAUGCCUGCGAUCCUAACACUCUGGGAGGCUAAAGUGGAAGAAUCUCUUGGGCUCAGGAGCUCAAGACCAGCCUGGGCAACAUAGGAAGACCCUAUCUCUAAAAAAAAUAAAAAUAAAAACGGCACACAGUCAAAAAUUCAAAAAUUAAUAUACAUAAGGCUAUUUAUUACAGAAACAUUGGUAGUAGCAAAAGACUGGAAAUAACUCAAUGCCCAUCAAUAGGGAACGGAGUAAAUAAACUAAGAUACCUACACAUAAUGGAGUGCCAUGCAGCUUUGAAAGGAAAUGAGGCAUAUUUCUAUGUUAUAUGUUGUGAUCACCAGAAUAUAACCUAAUGAGUAAAAAGCCAGGUGAAGAAAAUUCUGAUAAUAUGCUAUCAUUGGAGAGGGGAAUAUGAAUAUACCAUACAUCACAUAGGAGGAGAGAGGAAAUAAAGUGAGAGGAUUGGGAUAGAAGCUAGACUUUUCUAAAUAUAUCUUGUUUUAUAGAUUUAUGUUGGAAGUUUGUGGAUAUAGUACUUUAGAAAAGUAUAAAACCAAAUUAGACUUGACAAAAUGAAACAAGUCAAUCUGUUGAGUUGAUGGUGUAACUACACAGUGAGAAACUAUUGCAAAUGACCUUAACACUCAGGAAUUCCACUGUAUAUUCCUAAUGGGAGAUCCCCUAAUGACCAAACUUAAACCCAGUCCAACCAAACCAAAAAACCUUGUAAAAUAUCUGAAACCAUUUUUAGUAAUGAAAUGAGAAAUGUGGUCGUGUUGGUGAUAUGGUUUGGCUGUGUCCCCACCCCGACAUCAUCUUGAAUUGUAACUCCCACAAUUCCCACAUGUCAUGAGAGGAACCCAGUGGGAGGUGAUUGAAUUAUGGGUGUGGGUCUUUCCUGCGCUGUUCCCAUGAUAGUGAAUGACAAGAUCUGAUGAUUUUAAAAACGGUUUCCCCGCACAACCUCCCUCUCUUGCCUGCCACCAUCUAUGUAAGAUGUGACUUGUUCCUCCUUGCCUUCCGCUGUGAUCGUGAGGCCUCCCCAGCCAUGUGGAACUGUAAGUCCAUUAAACCUCUUUUUCUUCCCAGUCUCGGGUAUGUCUUCAUCAGCAGCAUGAAAAUAAACUCAUACAGUAAAUUGGUACCAAUAAAGUGGGGUGCUGCUGAAAAGAUACCCAAAAAUGUGGAAGCGACUUUGGAACUGGGUUAUCAGGCAGAGGCUGGAACAGUUUGGAGGGCUCAGAAGAAGACAGGAAAAUGUGGGAAAGUUUGGAACUUCCUAGAGACUUGUUGAAUGGCUUUGACAAAAAUGCUGAUAGUGAUAUGAACAAUAAGGUCCAGGCUGAGGUGGUCUCAGAUGGAGAUGAGGAACUUGUUGGGAACUGGAACAAAGGUGACCCUUGUUAUGUUUUAGCAAAGAGACUGGUGGCAUUUUGCUCCUGCCUUAGAGAUUUGCAGAACUUUGAACUUGAGAGAGAUGAUUUAGAGUAUCUGGUGGAAGAAAUGUCUAAGCAACAAAGUAUUCAAGAGGUGACUUGGGCGUUCUUAAACACAUUCAGUUUUAUAAGGGAAGCAGAGCAUAAAAGUUCAGAAACUUGCAGCCUGACAAUGUAAUAGAAAAGAAAAUUCUAUUUUCUGAGGAGAAAUUCAAGCUGGCUGCAGAAAUUUGCAUAAGAAAUGGGGACCCAAAUAUUAAUCUCCAAGACAAUGGGGAAAAUGUCUCCAGGGCAUUUCAGAGGUCUUCAUGGCAGCCCCUCCCAUCACGGGACCAGAGGCCUAGGAGGAAAAAAAUGGUUUCUUGGGCCAGGCCCAGGGUCUCCGUGCUGUGUGCAGCCUAGGGACUUGGUGCCCUGCAUCCCAGCUACUCCAGCCAUGAUUAAAAGGGCCCAAGGUACAGCUCGGGCCGUGGCUGCAGAGGGUGCAAGCCUCAAGCCUUGGAAGCUUCUAUGUGGAAUUCAACCUGUGGGUGCACAGAAGUCAAGAACUGAGGCUUGGGAACCUCUGCCUAGAUUUCAGAGGAUGUAUGGAAACGCCUGGAUAUCCAGGAAGUUUGCUGCAGGGACAGGGCCCUCAUGGAGAACCUCUGCUGGGACAGUGUGGAAAGGAAAUGUGGAGUUGGAGUCCCCACACAGAGUCCCAACUGGGGCACCACCUAGUGGAGCUGUGAGAAGAGGGCCACUGUCCUCCAGACCCCAGAAUGGUAGAUCCACCGACAGCUUGCACAUGUGCCUGGAAAAUCGGCAGACACUCAACACCAGCCCAUGAAAGCAGCCAGAAGGGAGGGUGUACCCUGCAAAGCCACAGGGGCUGAGCUGCCCAAGACCAUGGGAACCCACUUCUUGCAUCAGCGUGACCCGGAUGCGAGACAUGGAGUCAAAGGAGAUCAUUUUGGAGAUUUAAGACUUAACUGCCCUGCUGGAUUUCUGAUUUGUAUGGGGACCAGAGCGCCUUUGUUUUGGCCAAUUUCUCCCAUUUGGAAUGGCUGUAUUUACCCGAUACCUGUACCCCCAUUGUAUCUGGGAAGUAACUAACUUGCUUUUGAUCUUACAAGCUCCUAGGCGAAAGGAAUGUGCCUUGUCUCAGAUGAGACUUUGGACUGUGGACUUUUGAGUUAAUGCUGAAAUGAGUUAAGACUUUGGGAGACUGUUGGGAAGGCAUGACUGGUUUUGAAACGUGAGAACAUGAGAUUUGGGAGGGGCCAGAGGCGGGAUGAUAUGGUUUGGCUGUGUCCCCACCGAAAUCUCAUUUUGAAUUGUAACUCCCACAACUCCUGUGUGUCAUUGGAGGAACCCAGUGGGAGGUGAUCGAAUUAUGGGGGCAGGUCUUUCCUGUGCGGUUCUCAUGAUGGUAAAUGAGUCUCACAAGAGCUGAUCGUUUUAAAAGUGGGAGUUUCCCUGUACAAGCUGUCUCUCUUGCCUGCUGCCAUUCAUGUAAGAUGUGACUUACUCCUCCUUGCCUUCCACAAUGAUUGUGAGGCCGUCCCAGCCAUGUGGGACUGUAAGUUCAUUAAACCUUUUUUUCUUUCCAGUCUUGCAUAUGUCUUUAUCAGCAGCAUGAAAAUGGACUAAUACAGUUGGGUCUUGCUGUGGUGCCCAGACUACCUGGGCUGCAGUGCAACGGUGCCAUCUCAGCUUACUGCAGCCUCAACCUCCCAGGCUCAAGAGAUCUUCCCAACUCCUGAAUAGCUGGGACUACAGGUUCGCGCUACCAUGCCCAGCUAAGUUUUCCAUUUUUUUGUAGAGACAGGGUCUCGCCAUGUUGCCCGGUCUAGUCUCAAACUCCUGGACUCAAGUGAUUCCCCUGCCUAGGCCACCCAAAGUGCUGGGAUGGAUUACAGGUGUGAGCCGCCAUGCCUGGCCAGAAGGUGAAUUUUGAAGUCAGGUCGACUCGGCUUCAGUUCUGGCUUAGCCACUCCAUAACUGUGUGACAAGAGACAAGUUCUAGCUCUGAAACCCAAUUUUCUCAGGAAAAUGGUGACAGUACACACCACCGUUCCGUUGUAUGAAUUAAAGGUAACAGUUGGGCAAUGCUUGGCAGAGCUCCUCGCACAUAGUAACCACCUUUACUUAUUGCUGGAGGGAAGGUUGUACACCCUUGGGCCUUUUCUCUUUUUGAAAUAGCUGGUAUGGAACUCAGGUGACAAGACUAGUGGAGGCAGGAAGAGGGACCCAGGAAUUCUAUCUUCCUAUGGCUAAAAGGGGAAAAAGAAGCUUCCCCGCCUGGAAUACUUCCUGAAUCUUGCCCCUCCUCCCCAUUUUUCAGGGCUCUUUUCUAGUUCUGCCUCCAGGCAAAAUUAGUACCUCCUCUUUUUGCCUCAGCUUUUCCACAAGUCUAUUUGAACACAUCCUUUGACCCCUUUUAUUGGUGUGAUUUGAACCAGGCACAGUGGCUCAGGCCUGUAAUCCCAGCACUUUGGGAGGCCAAGGCGGGAGGAUCACUCGAGUCCAGGAGUUGGCGACCAGUCUGGGCGACAUAGCAAGACCCUGCCUCUGUUUUA
rnacentral:lncRNA from 1 species